UGAUUUAUAGAUACCUACAUGAAUAUUAUUUAUUCAGUUGACAAUAUGUCUUCUGUGUACAUAUAGUUUCCAGAGACCCUUGCAAUAAUUCAGAAAUUCUCACCCUAGACGGCUGCAGCCCACCAGGCUAGGAAACAUUGUUUUAGUAUGAUAUGGGAGAGGAAAAGGGUUUGCUUCCUAGGGUGAAGCACCAUAUAAGGAAUGCAAUCAUGGAGUGUUUGGGUAGGAAAGAGGGGCAUUUUAUCCAGGAAGAAAGAGCAUGAGGAAAAUUUUGAGGCUAGGGUAAUCAACUAGAUAUGAGAUGACAAGACUUCAAGAAGUGUGGAAGUAAUAGGAAUGGAAAAGAAAUGAAUGGAUAUGUGAGACAAGGAAA